UAAUUCAAUAAAAGCGAAAGGGAAUACGGUUCCAAUUCCGUAACCUGUUGAGUAUACGUUUGUUUAUUAAAAAUGGGUCUUAUUACACUCAUCCUGGCAACAGGAACGACCAUAGAGAAGCCUUCGAGAGAUACUGGAAGAGUUUUCUUUUCUGCUAAACAAACGUACCACCAUGGAAGUCUUUUAUAGAGAGAUAUGGUGGAUGGCUUGGAAGAGCAUGACAUUUAC
rnacentral:rRNA from 1 species